CUUCUAUUYCUACCUGGAGGAGCUUGCUAUCCAACCGAUAACCCACGUAACACCUCACCAACUUUCGAUUAUCAGCCUGUAUACCAUCGUCGUCAGUCUACCUUUUAAAAGUAGUAUACAUAAUGAACUCUUCAUCUUCUCAACGUCAGAUCGAGGUGCAGCUCAUAAGUUGGGGAUAAGUGAGCAACAAUAAUUACAUCCCAGAAAAUUUAAAUAUGAAAAAAUGAAUGAAACAUCAUUUAGAAAUAGAAUUCAGCAGUAACGAUUAACCUAAAGAAAAUAAUCGUGAAUACUUAGCUCUAGAAUACGC
rnacentral:rRNA from 1 species